rnacentral:ncRNA from 1 species
AAAGUUUUAUUUUGGCUAAUAAUUUAUUAAAUUUUUAAAUUACAUGUAAAUUUUUGUAUGAAUAAAAGUAUUUCUUGAAGAAAAUAUUAGUUAUUCGCAGUAUAAAAUAUUAAUUAUAAAAGAAAUUUUGAAUUGGUAAUAAAUUUUAGUAUAGGAUAAAUUUGUGCCAGCAUCUGCGGUUAUACAAAUUAUAUAAAUAAAUGUUAUUAGUUUAUAGUUAAUUGAAUAAUAAAUAUUAUAAGUUAUUAAUUUUAAGGUUAAAUUUAAAUUAAUUAAUAAAUAAAAAGAUGUUAUAUGAAGCUAUUAAAAUUUUAUAAUAAACUAGGAUUAGAUACCCUAUUAUUAAAAUUAAAUAAAAUAAACUGAGGUAGUAAUAGUUAUAUUCUUGAAACUUAAAAAAUUUGGCGGUGUUUUAGUCUAUUUAGAGGAAUCUGUUCUAUAAUUGAUAAUCCACGAUAUAUUUUACUAAUUUUAAUUUAAUUUGUAUACCGUCGUUAUCAGAAUAUUUUAAAAGAAAAUAAUAUUCAAAAAAUUUAAUUAAAUUAUAUUUCAGAUCAAGGUGCAGUUUAUAUUUUAGAAGAAAUGGAUUACAAUAAAUUAAUUUAUAUGGAUUAUUAAUUGAAAUAUUAAUAUGAAGGUGGAUUUAAUAGUAAAUUAAAAGAUAUUUUUUAAUUGAUUAUAGCUCUAAAACAUGUACAUAUCGCCCGUCGCUCUUUCUUUUAAAGAAAGAUAAGUCGUAACAUAGUAGAUGUACUGGAAAGUGUAUCUAGAAUGAA